CAGAUGAGACAGUUUCGUCUUCUUCUGUUGCCAUGAGCUCCAUCAGCAGCUUGUCUCUUCUGCUCGUUUGUCAGUGCAUGUUCAUAGCAGUGAAUCCUGUGGGGUCAGCUGAUCCUGGCAGCAGCACCAGCCUGUGGGGCAAGAAGCUGAAGUUCGGAGGCCCUCCCUGUCUGUGGCAACUUCAACCACAUGUUGUUAUCCCAGCCCUGAAGGAGCUGAGCGUAUGCGUGUCUUUGAAGCGCAAUUAUACAACGGAAUGGCGGGCGUUUGUCUACAAAGCUUCAAAAAACGCUGGCAUUGAGCUGGGGCUUGGGGGCGCAGGCCCGCAAAUUACAGUGUGGAUGUUUGGACGGCAGUGGCACUUCCUCAAGUGGCUGAAGCUGAAUGAGUGGCACUCCAUCUGUCUGACCUGGUCCAGCAGAGCUCGGCGGCUCAGAGUCUACAUCAAUGGACUGGUCCAGCUGGAGUCACCCCUGUACCCCUCUCUCCCUCUUCAGCUGGCUGAAAACGGCACUCUCACUCUGGGGAUGUCUCAUUAUGUUGCUCCUGAUAACCAGGUCAGACCAGAAAGUGGGAGUAAUCUGCUGGGUGAGAUUGGUUUGUUUAGAAUGUGGAGCACGGAGUGGAGCGCUCAGGAGCUGUGGGGCUUGGGCUGCGCAGACGGGGACGUGCUGGGCUGGGAUCAGCGGCAGUGGAAGAACACCUGCCCUCCUGAACCCGACCACAACCUCCACUGCCUAUGGUCCCAUUACAAGAUCAAAAUGUGGGUCUCCAUAUUUGAUACUGCGAACCGUGGAAACUGCUCACUGCCACUGGAGAAAAUUACACGAAACUGGGUACAAAGAUCUGCCUGAACUGUUUUACUUGUCUGCUAAGACUUCUAACCCUUGUUUUAAUUUUCCUUUUUCUUGUUUUAGUUAAAAAGAAUUUUUCCUUCAUUCAUUUCAAUCCAGAACCUUUCUGUGUCACUCCCAAGGUAUGUAAAGAACCAAUUACAGCCAUAAAAAAACUGUUCAAAGACUAAAAGUAACACAUUAAAAACAUAAUUUAAAUUACAUUUUCAUGGAGCUUUUUCAUAAAUUU
rnacentral:lncRNA from 1 species